GGGUGUCAGGCAUUUGCUUAGGCAGGUAUUUGUUGUAGUCGGGCCGCUACAA
rnacentral:ncRNA from 2 species